AACUGGUUGAUCCUGCCAGUAGUCAUAUGCUUGUCUUAAAGAUUAAGCCAUGCAUGUUUAAGUUCAUACCUUUGAAUGGUGAAACCGCGAAUGGCUCAUUAAAUCAGUUAUAAAUUCAUGAGAUGUUUUUUGGUAAUAGUAAAUGGUAAAUGGUAAAUAUAUGUUUACCAUGGUUGUAACAGGUAACGGGGAAUUAGGGUUCGAUUCCGGAGAGGGAGCCUGAGAAACGGCUACCACAUCUAAGGAAGGCAGCAGGCGCGCAAAUUACCCAAUCCCGGCUCGGGGAGGUAGUGACAAAAAAUAACAAUGCGGGUCUUAAAUGAGGCUUCGUAAUUGGAAUGAGUACAUUCUAAAUCCUUUAACGAGGAACUAUUGGAGGGCAAGUCUGGUGCCAGCAGCCGCGGUAAUUCCAGCUCCAAUAGCGUAUAUUAAAAUUGUUGCGUCUAAAAAGCUCGUAGUUUGAAAACUUGCCUUGACUUGCAAUAGGUCCACAUGGGCCACCGUUUGUCGAGCGCAAAUAUGGACUGUUUUUGCCGGCUUAAUUGUUUGGCUUAUAAGAGUUAUCAAAUAUCACUUUGAUUAAAUUAGAGUGCUUAAAGCAAGUGUAUUACUUGAAUAUAAAUGCAUGGAACGAUGGAAUAUGUUAUGGUUCUAUUUGUUGGUUUUGGAACGAUGAAAUGAUUGAAAGGAACUGAUGGGGGCAUUCGAUGGCGAAUACGAUAAUAAAAUAUCGUAUUCGCCAGAGAGCUAUGUCGGUUAGUGUGAUCCACUCUAUUCAGCGAAUCCUGGUGAAGGCGAGCGUAUAUUUGCAACGCUCGCCGCAAAAAAAAAUGAUACUAUUUAGUGAAUCAGCUCCUACUAAACAACGCCUCGAUAUGACUGAGCUGCGCACUUGAACUUGCGCA
rnacentral:rRNA from 1 species